GCCGUGGUUGCUUAGUGGCUAUGGUGUUUGCCUGCUAAGCACGAGGUACCGGGUUCAAAUCCCGGCCACGGCG